rnacentral:misc_RNA from 1 species
AGCAGCCGCGGUAAUUCCAGCUCCAAUAGCGUAUAUUAAAGUUGUUGCAGUUAAAAAGCUCGUAGUUGAAUUUCGGGAUCAAUUUAUUGGUCGUGCUAUUGUACGUACUGGUAUUAUUGAUUCCUACCUUCUGACGAACCAUGAUGUCAUUAAUUUGGUGUCAUGGGGAAUCAGGACUGUUACUUUGAAAAAUUAGAGUGUUUAAAGCAGGCUCACGCUUGAAUACAUUAGCAUGGAAUAACGAAAUAGGACGUUUGAUUCUAUUUUGUUGGUUUCUAGGAUCGACGUAAUGAUUAAUAGGGAUAGUUGGGGGCAUUAGUAUUCAAUUGUCAGAGGUGAAAUUCUUGGAUUUAUUGAAGACUAACUACUGCGAAAGCAUUUGCCAAGGAUGUUUUCAUUAAUCAAGAACGAAAGUUAGGGGAUCGAAGACGAUCAGAUACCGUCGUAGUCUUAACCAUAAACUAUGCCGACUAGGGAUCGGAUGAUGUUAUUUUUAAUGUACUCAUUCGGCGUACCCG